UACGUAGGGGGCUAGCGUUAUCCGGAAUUACUGGGCGCAAAGGGUGCGUAGGUGGUUUCUUAAGUCAGAGGUGAAAGGCUACGGCUCAACCGUAGUAAGCCUUUGAAACUGGGGAACUUGAGUGCAGGAGAGGAGAGUGGAAUUCCUAGUGUAGCGGUGAAAUGCGUAGAUAUUAGGAGGAACACCAGUUGCGAAGGCGGCUCUCUGGACUGUAACUGACACUGAGGCACGAAAGCGUGGGGAGCAAACAGG
rnacentral:rRNA from 1 species